AAAACGAAGACCUACGAAGAAGUUCAAGAGGGAUCUCUCGUAUGCAGUGCUGCUCCUUUGCCUCAUCAAGGUUUGAAGAGACAGAGGACGGUGGUGCAAAAGAGAAGGAGGGCCAGCCGGGCCUCGUGGAGUUCAAUCAGUGGCAGGAUGAAGAAUUGGUGCAGUGGUGAGGCUGGAGCACCCCUGGCUUUUGCCGUAUGGGUUGACUUCAGCAGUGAGUCACCCACCUUCAAUUUCACAGGGCCAAAGUAUCUUGAGGCCUUUUGGACCAAUGACAGGAAGGCUGAGCUGCUGAACAUGUACACUAAUAGGGGUGUGUCAAGUGAUGCUUUGGGGGGAGAGGCCAUACGUUGACCCUGAUAUCAGUGGCACACAUUGCCGGAUGGCAAUUGGCCGUCUGAUUAAAGAACAUGGUAUGACUGGCAUUCUAUGUUUUCAAUUUCCUUAUUUAAAGAUCAAAAUGAUGCAGACUACUGAAUCUGAUUACACUUUAACACCCUUCUAUCUCAGCACUGAGUUAAGGUUUGUCUCGGCCUGAAUAUCUGCCACAACACAGGCCGCCUUGGUGGCCUGAGGAGUUGCCCUUUGCCUCAGUCAGUGACGGAAAAGGUGAAGGGCGUAAAGCUUUCACUGCUGAAAAGCUGAGGAAGGUGGUACGCUCAUACAAUGCGUAUUACAAUCUCCAGCAGUCUGUUGAGGCACCACCAUCACCCCCAUCACCAGCAACACCAGCAGCAGCAACACCUGCUGCGCCUCUCACCCCCCUCAACCCCCACCCCACCCCAUGAGGUAAGGACGCUGGGGCACAGCGCCUCUCACCCCCCCACCAGCCACCCCUCUCCCCCAUGAGGCAAGGACGCCCGGGCACAGCGCCCCUCACCCCCCCCCACAACCCACCCCCAUGAGGCAAGGACGCUGGGCACCAGCAGCAGCCUCACUACCAGCAGCAGCAUCACCACUACCAGCCUUUAAUGCAGAUUUCAAUCUCCAGUCAGAGAAUGUGCAGCAGUUUGUUGAGGCACCACCAGCAACAGUAGCAGUACCAGCUGCAGCUGUGUCAGUGGCAGGAGCAGCACCAUCAGCACCACAAACACCACAAACACCACCAGCAGCAGCGGCAGAUUAUAAAGAAGGAUCACAAUGAAUAUUAUGUCAUUUCCUUUAAUGUGUCAACAUCUUUUGGAAAAGUAAAGCAUCUAUCAUC